UACGUAGGUGGCAAGCGUUGUCCGGAUUUACUGGGCGCAAAGAGCGCGCAGGCGGUCGGAUAAGUCGGAUGUGAAAGCCCCCGGCUCAACUGGGGAGGGUCAUUCGAUACUGUUCGACUCGAAGGCAGGAGAGGGAAGUGGAAUUCCCGGUGUAGUGGUGAAAUGCGUAGAUAUCGGGAGGGAACACCAGUGGCGAAGGCGACUUCCUGGCCUGUUCUUGACGCUGAGGCGCGAAAGCUAGGGGAGCAAACGGG
rnacentral:rRNA from 1 species